rnacentral:rRNA from 1 species
GGAUGCUUGUUCGAACCCACAGUCUCAAACAUACAAGGUGGCUUCUGCUACCACUUACAGAUGGACCCGCGGCGCAGUAUCUAGUUGGUGACGUAACGGCUCACCAACGCGACGAUGCCUAUCCGACCUGAGAGGGUGAUCGGCCACACUGGGACUGAGACACGGCCCAGACUCCUACGGGAGGCAGCAGUACGGAAUCUUCCGCAAUGGACGAAAGUCUGACAGAGCAACGCCGCGUGAGUGAUGAAGGUUUUCGGAUCAUAACGCUCUGUUGUUAGGGAAGAACAAGUGCCGUUCCUCAGGGUCCGCACCUUGACGGUACCUAACCACAAAGCCACGGCUAACUACGUGCCAGCAGCCGCGGUAAUACCUAGGUGGCAAGCGUUGUCCGGAAUUAUUGGGCGUCAAGGGCCUGCAGGCGGUUUAUUAAGUCUGAUGUGAAAGCCCCCGGCUCAACCGGGGAGGGUCAUUGGAAACUGGGGAACUUGAGUGCAGAAGAGGAGAGUGGAAUUCCACGUGUAGCGGUGAAAUGCGUAGAGAUGUGGAGGAACACCAGUGGCGAAGGCGACUCUCUGGUCUGUACUGACGCUGAGGAGCGAAAGCGUGCGGAGCGAACAGGAUUAGAUACCCUGGUAGUCCACGCCGUAACGAUGAGUGCUAGUGUUCGGGGGUUUCCGUCCCUAUUGCUGCAGCUACGUAUUAAUCACUCCCCUGGGGAGACGGUCGCACACUGAAACUCAAAGAAUUGACGGGGGCGCGCGCAACUUUGCAGUUGUGGUUAAUUCGAAGCACGCGAAGAACCUAACAGGUCUGGAAUCCUCUGACAUCCUAGAAAUAAGACGUCCCCUCGG